UACGUAGGGGGCAAGCGUUGUCCGGAAUCAUUGGGCGUAAAGAGCGUGUAGGCGGUCCGGUAAGUCGGCUGUGAAAGUCCAGGGCUCAACCCUGGGAUGCCGGUCGAUACUGCCGGGCUAGAGUUCGGAAGAGGCGAGUGGAAUUCCCGGUGUAGCGGUGAAAUGCGCAGAUAUCGGGAGGAACACCAAUGGCGAAGGCAGCUCGCUGGGACGUUACUGACGCUGAGACGCGAAAGCGUGGGGAGCAAACAGG
rnacentral:rRNA from 1 species